UUAAGUGAAUAAGGGCGUACGGUGGAUGCCUAGGCACUUGGAACUGAAGAAGGACGCAACAAACGGCGAAACGCGACGGGGAGUGGUACGUACACAAAGAUCCGUCGAUAUCCGAAUGGGGAAACCCGGCAGCAGUAAUGAGCUGUCACCCAUGAGUGAAUACAUAGCUCAUGAGGGAGGUACCCGGAGAACUGAAACAUCUAAGUAUCCGGAGGAAAAGAAAAUAAGAAUGAUUCCGUAAGUAGCGGCGAGCGAACGCGGAGGAGCCCAAACCAGAUCUUGAUCUGGGGUUGUAGGACCACGAAAUGGCAAGAGCAUGGCUAAGAGAACGGCAUUGAAAGGCCGACCGGAGAGGGUGCAAGUCCCGUAACUGAAAGUCUAGCGAAGCCUAGUGGUAUCCUGAGUACGGCGAGACACGAGAAAUCUUGUCGGAAGCAGGCGGGACCAUCCGUCAAGGCUAAAUAUACCCAAGUGACCGAUAGUGAACCAGUACCGUGAGGGAAAGGUGAAAAGAACCGCGGGAGCGGAGUGAAAUAGAACCUGAAACCGUAUGCUUACAAGAAGUCAGAGCCCGUUAAAGGGUGAUGGCGUGCCUUUUGUAGAAUGAACCGGCGAGUUACUGUAUGGAGCGAGGUUAAGCAGGAUAUGCGGAGCCGAAGCGAAAGCGAGUCUUAAGAGGGCGCGAGUUGCAUGCAGUAGACCCGAAACCGGGUGAUCUAGCCAUGACCAGGUUGAAGUUGGGGUAAAACCCGAUGGAGGACCGAACCGACCCCCGUUGAAACGUUGGCGGAUGAGUUGUGGCUAGGGGUGAAAUUCCAAUCGAACCCGGAGAUAGCUGGUUCUCCCCGAAAUAGCUUUAGGGCUAGCGUCGAGAGAAGAGUUGCGUGAAGGUAGAGCACUGAAUAUGUGAUGGCCCCAUCUCGGGGUACUGAGCAUAAUCAAACUGCGAAUGUCACGCCAACAUGCUCGGCAGUCAGACAGCGGGUGAUAAGGUCCGUUGUCAAGAGGGAAACAGCCCAGACCAUCAGCUAAGGUCCCAAAAUGUAUGCUAAGUGGAAAAGGAUGUGGGGAUGCACAGACAACUAGGAGGUUGGCUCAGAAGCAGCCAUCCUUCAAAGAGUGCGUAACAGCUCACUAGUCGAGUGACCCUGCGCCGAAAAUGUACCGGGGCUAAGCAUACUACCGAAGCUGCGGAUUCAACUUCAGAGUUGAGUGGUAGGGGAGCGUUGCAUGCACGUAGAAGCCGUACCGUAAGGAGCGGUGGAGAGCAUGGAAGAGAGAAUGCCGGUGUGAGUAGCGAGAUGUAGGUGAGAAUCCUACACACCGAUAGCCCAAGGAUUCCAGGGGAAGGUUCGUCCGCCCUGGGUAAGUCGGGACCUAAGGCGAGGCCGAAAGGCGUAGUGGAUGGAAAACAGGCAGAUAUUCCUGUACCCGCGAUGGAAAUGAAGGAAUGACGGAGAAGGCUAGUGUGAGCCACUGAACGGAUUGUGGUCGAAGCAUAUAGCAGGCUGACAGUGAAAUGCGUCAGCAGGAUGUAAGAUGUGAGAGGUAAGGGAACGUCCUUGGACAAGUACUGAAGCACAUGAUGCCAGCUUCCAAGAAAAGUUUCUAGUGAUAAUUCCAUAGCGGCCCGUACCAAAACCGACACAGGUGGGCAAGGAGAGAAUCCUGAGGUGAGCGAGAGAACUGUUGCCAAGGAACUCGGCAAAAUGACUCCGUAAGUUAGCGAUAAGGAGUGCUCUUGUAAAAGAGAGCCGCAGUGAAGAGGCCCAAGCGACUGUUUAACUAAAACACAGCUCUCUGCAAAGUCGCAAGACGAAGUAUAGGGGGUGACGCCUGCCCGGUGCUGGAAGGUUAAGAGGAUUUGUCAUCCGCAAGGAGAAGCAAUGAAUUGAAGCCCCAGUGAACGGCGGCCGUAACUAUAACGGUCCUAAGGUAGCGAAAUUCCUUGUCAGGUAAG
rnacentral:rRNA from 1 species